rnacentral:lncRNA from 1 species
UACGAAAACGACUGCUUGUACUCCAGCGUGUCUUUUAUGCACUUUCUAAUAAGUACCAUGACAAAGGCAAAGUGAAGCAGCAGCAGCAUUCUCCAGAGAGCAGCUCUGGUUCAGCAGAUGUCCAUUCUGUCAGUGAACGUCCCCGAUCAAGCACUGAUGCACUUAUAGAGAUGGGUGUCCGAACUGGUCUAAGUUUAUUAUUUGCACUUCUGAGACAGAGUUGGAUGAUGCCUGUUUCGGGACCUGGUCUCAGUCUCUGCAACGACGUUAUUCAUACUGCAAUUGAAGUCGUGAGCUCUUUGCCUCCAUUGUCUUUAGCAAACGAAAGCAAGAUUCCUCCUAUGGGCUUGGACUGCUUAUCACAAGUCACAACAUUUCUUAAAGGAGUAA